UACGUAGGGUGCAAGCGUUGUCCGGAAUUAUUGGGCGUAAAGAGCUCGUAGGCGGUUUGUCGCGUCUGCUGUGAAAAUCCAGGGCUUAACCCUGGACCUGCAGUGGGUACGGGCAGACUAGAGUGCGGUAGGGGAGAUCGGAAUUCCUGGUGUAGCGGUGAAAUGCGCAGAUAUCAGGAGGAACACCGGUGGCGAAGGCGGAUCUCUGGGGCCG
rnacentral:rRNA from 1 species